ACAAAUUGUUAUAAAUAUUUAUGUUUAUGUAGUUAGCUCCUUGAGUCUCGAAAAUGAAUCGAGACCGUUGGCACCGAGUUAGCGGUGGGGAGAACUCUGAUAUAUUAAUGUUGUUGUGGUGAUUUAUGGUUGAAAAUUUUGGAGAUUGAAUAUGAGUGAUUAAUGUUUGGAAAUUUUGGUGAUUCAUGUUUGGUGAAAUUGAUGUGUUCAUAAUUAAUAUUAUGAAUUUUUGAGAAGAAAUUUAUGUGUGACUUGGUGGAAAAUGAAUUUAAUUCAAUUUAGGUGUGAAUGGAAUUUGGAGUUGUGAUUUAUGUGUGGUUGUGGAAAUUUUAAUUGGUGUGAAUAAAUUUAAUUGGUGUUUGAAAAAUCAUUCGUGUUAAAUGAACAUUAAAAAUGGGGAAUCUUUUAAUAGCUGCAUUUACUUAAUGAUUAUGGUGAAAAGAGUUAGAGUAUGCUCAUGGAUUUCAUAGUACAUGGUGACCGCGAUAGGGCCAUGGUGAUAGUGGUGACCAUGAUGGGCCACGGGAUGAUGCCAUGUGAAUUGUUGGUUCAUCUUAUCCUUGCGGGGAUUGUCGCGUCGUGCUGAUCUGUGAGAGAUUGCACUCUAGAAUGUGCUGAUCUGUGAGCGAUUGCACUCUAGAAAAUCGUGCUGGUCUGUGAGAGACUGCACGCUAGUAAAUUGUGCUGGUCUGUGAGCGACUGCACACUUGUAUGUCGUGCUGGUCUGUGAGAGACUGCACGCUAGUAAAUCGUACUGAUUCGUGAGAGAUUGCACCUCGGUGAUUAGUACUGGUCUGUGAGAGGCUGUACAAUUAUGAUUUACGCCUCUCGAGGAGGGUUUUGGUUUGGAAUUAUGGAAUCAUGCAUUUUGGCAUAUACGCAUUGCAUUAGAGUGUUUGACAUGCGAGUUAUGUUUGUUAUACUAUGAUGAUUGUAUAUACAUAUUCGGUUGUUGUUGUGAUUUGUCGUAAUUGCUUUGAGGUGUGAAGUUGGGUUGAUUAAGUUUUGAUGUAAUUAUGUGUUCAUAAUUGAUUUAAUGAAUAUUCGAAGUGUUGAUUGAUUCAGAGCUAUUUUAGAACUGAAAUUUUGCCUUUUCUCAAUUGUAUUCGGCUAC
rnacentral:lncRNA from 1 species